UGAAACUGAUCUCUCCGUGAAGAAGCGGGGAUACUCCUAUAAGACGAAAAGACCCCAUGGAGCUUCAAACCCAACUACACCCUUAACUACCACAACCGCACAACCUCUUAGGGCCCUGUAUAGUUGGUUUUAGGUUGGGGCGACCACGGAGUACAACCAAACCUCCGCAAUGGACGGGACCACUCCCUUAUCUAAGAGCCACACCUCUAAGAAUUAAAACACUAACAUAAAAUGAUCCAUGAUCUGAUCAAUGAACCAAGUUACCCUGGGGAUAACAGCGCAAUCCAUUUCAAGAGCCCUUAUCGACAAGUGGGUUUACGACCUCGAUGUUGGAUCAGGGUAUCCUAGUGGUGCAGCAGCUACUAAUGGUUCGUUUGUUCAACGAUUAAAACCCU
rnacentral:rRNA from 1 species